AUAAGAUGCACCAACCAAAAUAACAUAGCUAGUAGCUUAGUAUCAGUACACCAUGUUCAUAAGAUGCAACAACCAAAACACAACCUCAUCAAACCACAGUCAAUCUCUUGUCCAUAUUGUGGUUCACAUGUCCAUUCAAAGAAACUCAUCAACCCCUGGUCCAAACAACUCAACAUCAAAAGUCCUGAUGAUGCUCACUAACCUGCAGGACAAACAAGGCCAUAAGUGAGCUCCAGCAAAGGCAUUUCCUGAUGAUUUCAGGGCAGAAGAUUGCACCUAACUAUACACCAAGAACACAACUGCUGGAAACUGUUAAGACAUACAGAUAUGUGCACGCCAAAAAAUAGCAGAUCUGUGAAGGGGGUGUCUAUUAGCAAAUUUUGGUCUAAAUACAACAUAGGCAGGCAAAUGCUUAGUGUAACUAAUGAACUGCUGUUGUUUGCGUUUCUGAACUUUGCUAAAUGAAGACGAAUACACCAAAAACUAAUGAACUCUAUCUACACAGGCUCCAUCUCUAGACGAACAGAGCAAAAAAAUCCAAAUCUCUCCAUGCACACAAAAACGAUCUCAAUCCGUGAAUUGCCUCGCGCAUUGCACGGAACAGGGUGCAUACACAUCAACAGUGUAUGAAGCAUCGCUCCCCCCUUAAUCCCUCUCACCAGCAGCAGCAUAUGAAGCAGCCGAUCUGUCAACGAAGACUACUAUGGCGACUGACUACUAGUACGACAUACAACAAAAAACGAUCAAGGAUAUCAAUGUCAAGACAGGUACAAAAGCACGAAGAACUGGAUUAACAGUCGUCCAAGCAGCUAGCGCUGACAGUUAGACACUUAAUCUCCCCAGACACCAGUGAAGACAUAUUUCUGAUAGAUAACUUGGCACUGAAGCCGCAUCUAAACUAAACAGUUGACUGAACAAAAGUGCGUGGCAGUAGAUAGUUAUCGGGAAGGAAGGAGUACUGGAAAAGACAAGUCACCUCCUUCAACUGCUCAAAAGUAUGCUUUAUUAGAUCAAAAUUACUAUCAUUUUAGCCUCGUCUGUACACAGACUUAUUAACUCAGUGCCAGUAAAUCUACAACACAAGCGUCUCAUUUGGGAACAAGGACAAACCUACAGGUGACAUGGCCAGUGAACUAAAAUCAAACAAGUAACUCAACAGCACUUGGCAGAUGAAGAUCUCUAGUAAUUCAUCCAUAAGUCCGCUGGUCAGAAACAAACACAAAAAGAAAUGGCACAUGAAAAAAAAUUGAUUAAC
rnacentral:lncRNA from 1 species